AAGGCCUCUAUGGCCUUCUCAUGAGCCUUAUUGGCCUUUUCUGUCUCUCUAAGCUUUGGCUCCUGUUCUUUAUUCUUCUUGGCGAUAGUAUGCAGAUCAAAAAUCAUCUUCUCCUGUUCAUUGAUCUUUCAUUGAAGAUCCAGUAGGAUUUGAUUCUUCUCCUUCAGUGCCUUCUACUUUUCUUCAGGUUGAUGUUUGAGUCUUACAGCG
rnacentral:lncRNA from 1 species